GACGAACGCUGGCGGCGUGCUUAACACAUGCAAGUCGAACGGAAAGGCCCCUCUCUUGGGGUAUGCUAGUGGCGAAAGGGUGAGUAAAACGCGAGUAACCCGCCCCUGAGAUUGGGGUAACAUUACGGAAAACGGGCGCAUAUCGGAGAGAGGCUCCCCCGCCGCAGGGGGGGUGGUGAAAAUUUUGGGCGGGUGGGGGGGGACUCGCGGUUUGUCAGCGUGUUGGUGGGGUAGUGGCUUACCAAGGCUUUGACGGGUAGCCGGCCUGAGGGGGUGACCGGCCACAUUGGGACUGAGAUACGGCCCAGACUCCUACGGGAGGCAGCAGUGGGGAAUAUUGCACAAUGGGCGGAAGCCUGAUGCAGCAACGCCGCGUGCGGGAUGACGGCCUUCGGGUUGUAAACCGCUUUCGCCUGUGACGAAGCGUGAGUGACGGUAAUGGGUAAAGAAGCACCGGCUAACUACGUG
rnacentral:rRNA from 1 species